GGCGCGGUAGCAAAGUGGUAAUGCACGGCUCUGCAAAAGCUGUAUUCGGGAGUUCGAUUCUCCCCCGCGCCU
rnacentral:tRNA from 1 species